rnacentral:rRNA from 1 species
UGGGGAAUAUUGCACAAUGGGGGAAACCCUGAUGCAGCGACGCCGCGUGGAGGAUGACGGCCUUCGGGUUGUAAACUCCUUUUGUCAGGGACAAUGGUGAUGGUACCUGACGAAUAAGCCACGGCUAACUCUGUGCCAGCAGCCGCGGUAAGACAGAGGUGGCGAGCGUUGUUCGGAAUUACUGGGCUUAAAGGGCGCGUAGGCGGUGGUGUAAGUCUGGGGUGGAAUGCUACAGCUCAACUGUAGAGCUGCCUUGGAAACUGCAUUACUUGAGUCGGUGAGGGGAAGCGGAAUUCCUGGUGUAGCGGUGAAAUGCGUAGAUAUCAGGAGGAAGGUCUGUGGCGAAGGCGGCCUUCUGGCACUUGACUGACGCUGAGGCGCGAAAGCGUGGGGAGCAAAC